UUAGAAAUAGAACAAUAUUAAUAAGAUGGCAAAAUUGAUAUAUACAAUUGGUUCCGUAAAAUAAUAUGAAACGAUUAUUGUACUAUAAAAAUUUAAACUGUUAAAAAACGAUGUUUAUAUAUUUUUAUAUUUAACACUCACUCUAACGUCUGAACUCGAGAUUUUUUAUAAGACUCAUAACAUGAACUUGAAUUAAAUGAAAUAACAGCAGCUACAUAUUUUUAUGUUUAACAGCUCCUGACCUAAUAAUCUUAAAUCUUUAGGUUACUAGAAUUUCAUUACAUAUGUCACAUUCUCACGCUCACAUAGAU
rnacentral:lncRNA from 1 species